AUCAAUAUUUAUUUUAAAACCCAAUAAAUAGGAUCAUGGAAAAAAAAUAUGCGUAUCGGUAAAUUUUUUUCAAGUUGUGCGAAAAAUAAAAAAUUCAAGGUUCCGGUUACCACAACAGUUACACUACGACCUUUACACCCUGCAACCGCAACCGCGCCACCGCCACCGCCACCGUUACGGCAACCGCAACUGCUUUUCAAAACAUUAGCCUGAACAAUUGAACAAGAUAUUUGAGCUGUGCGGAUCUCCAGAUGAGAUUAUUUGGCCUGGGGUUUCCAAGAUUCCCUAGUAUAACAAGUUCAAGCCAACAAGGCCGAUGACGAGGCGAGUGAGGGAGGUUUUUAGACAUUUUGACCGUCAUGCACUGGAUUUACUAGAGAAAAUGCUAACCCUUGAUCCAUCUCAGAGAAUAUCUGCAAAGGAUGCCCUUGAUGCUGAAUAUUUUUGGAUUGACCCCUUACCUUGCGAUCCUAGAAGUUUGCCUAAAUAUGAAUCAUCGCACGAGUUCCAGACAAAGAAAAAAAGGCAACAGUAGCGACAAAACGAAGAGAUGGCAAAGAGACAGAAAUUGCAGCACCCACAACAACAUGCUCGUCUGAUUGCUUGCUUUUGCUUAAUGAUAAAGAAGGGAAUGCUUGAUUUGUAGUUUUCGAGUUUGUGGAUUAUGCUUUGAAUUCUUGUCCAGCUGCGUGGCUCGGGAGCACAAGUUUUCUGAUGAGAGCAACAUCUUGUGAAUGUAAGUGGUUCAGAUUUGGACACUAAGGAUGUUGCAACCACUGUUUUCUUAGGUAGCUAUCAUUUUAAUCUUUUGAUAAAUGGCUUUACAGUGUAGGCCAAUCUGCAGAAGUUCACCUAGAUUUGGGAUAAGGUUAAUUGAGAUCUGGGGUGGAAUA